rnacentral:rRNA from 1 species
ACUCCGUACGGGAGGCAGCAGUGGGGAACUAUUGUCACAAUGGGGGAAACCCUGAUGCAGCCAUGCCGCGUGUGUGAAGAAGGCCUUCGGGUUGUAAAGCACUUUCAGUAGGGGAGGAAGGUAGUGUAGUUAACACCUGCAUUAUUUGUACGUUACCUACAGAAGAAGCACCGGCUAACUCCGUGCCAGCAGCCGCGGUAAUACGGAGGGUGCGAGCGUUAAUCGGAAUUACUGGGCGUAAAGCGCAUGCAGGCGGCCUGUUAAGUCAGAUGUGAAAGCCCCGGGGCUUAACCUCGGAAUUGCAUUUGAAACUGGCAGGCUAGAGUCUUGUAGAGGGGGUUAGAAUUUCAGGUGUAGCGGUGAAAU